CUGAGAUAGCCCGGCCUGAGGGACCUGGUUGCAGGGGUUACAUUGUGGACACGAAAAAUAAUAGACAUACUCUUAAGCAGGAGUACAGACAGGUCUGAGAAACCCUGGUCUUUGCUGCGCUACGAAAAUCGCAACCUCGCCAGGUUUCUAGCGCUGACGUGGUUUUUUUUUUUUUUUUUGCCCUCCCGCUUCUGCAUUCGGUGUGGGAGAGAGUUGUGGAACAAUAAUCCGUCCUGCUCAGUGUUGCGGGCCCGCGCGCCCGAAAGUUCUCGCAUUUUUGCGGCGUUUCCCGCGGAUUCUUCAGAAUUCUCCUCUCUGGACAGGGCGGGCGGGAAGCUGAGGAGCCAGCUGCAGUGGGCUUGGCUCUCACCGAGCUGUUUCAUUUUCCUCUCCCAGAAAUCCCUUCAUUGUCGAGCUCGAUUGGGAGAGAAGGGGGGCUCCCUCAGGAGAUGGGGUAGAGACCCAGGUUCUGCGCUUUAGGUCUGCAGCCAUUACCUUUAAACGUCAUUAGGUCCCCCACUUGUGAAGUGUGGCAGUGCCCUGGGUGCUUCACUUGCGUUAUUUCGUUAGAGCUCUGAGAGCCGGGCAGAGAACCGAGGCCUGGGGGUGGCGCUCGCGGUCGGCGCGGCGGGUCCAGAGCGCAUGCGCACCUCGUGGCCGCGGCGGGUGGCGCCGCCUGGAUGCGGCGGACGCGGAAGCUGAGGGACGGGAGCGGAGGCCCUGUAGUGGGUUGUGCUCCUGAAAGGGUUCCUGGAAAGUCACAGAACUUCCUAACAAGGCAAGGAGGCACAGCGACUUCUGGAAACUCUGGUGUUAAGUGACCUCACUUGAUAAGUGUGUGCGUUUUCCUGAGACGCUAGCAUUGCCUUUACCUAAAGGAUGGUGUUAACUUUAUGUUUCUGUGUUGGAGCAAACUGUUGAAAUCUUUACUUAAUGUCUGCUAAACUGAUCUUCUGUAUAUAAAGAGAAUCAAAAAUGAAUCUUGAUCUGUUUGAACUGGGCCCUGAAGAAAGGAAACAAGCAGAAUGCUCUGGCUGGUAAGUCUGGGGCCAAGGAAAUAGGGAGGGAAUUGUAAAAAGAGCGCUGCCAUCAAUUAUGUGUAACACUGGGAUCAACUGAGAAAUGUAAAGCUAAGGAAAUGUGCAUAAUUGUCAGAUAUGAGACCAACUAACAAAAAUUAAUAACAUUUCUUUACAUCCCUCAUAGUGAAGUAGCCCCUUGACAGUAGGGCUCCAUUUUGGGGCACUUGAGACUCCAUUCUGGGAAAGCAACCCCCCCUCCCCCCCGAACCGUGAGGCUCUGGUCUGAAACUGUGAUCUCAAAUAGUCGGACAAUAGCAGUGCACUACAUCACCCUUGGCAGAGCACAAAAACCCCCUAGCAUGAUUGCUCAAGCUUAAAAGUAGAAAGGUUACACCUGGGUUACCUGGGCUAAUAAUGAAGAUGUGAUUUGUCUAUGUCUUAAGAUCAUAAUUGCUGAUUGUAAGAUUUUAGCAACCGCUUAACAACCGUGUAUUCUCUCCCCCCUCCCGAUUUUGCGGUUUUUGCCUUUAUAAACCCUAUGCUGUAGUUCCUCGCUGCUCCUCUGUUCUUGUGUGUUCAGAGAGCCCCAACAUGUUGGAUCAAUAAAUCUUUAACCCUUUGCUGGUUGCAUGAGAGAAAGUCUCUUGGAGUCAUUCCUUGGGCAGUGGGCUUUUUCGGACCCUAACAUUUGGAGGUUCCACUGAGAUCUGACUGCUGCCUGUGGACGCCUCCAACGGAUAUCUCUUGGGCUAAUGAAAACCUAAACAAUGGAUUCAUAUGCUGAUAAUCAGCUCUUUUCUGUGCUGCUGUCCCUGACUCAUCUGAGAGCGUUCACCUGUCUUGAAGAAGGGAAGUUACUACUGUUCUGCAGGACUCUCCACUGUGACGUACGGUUUGAUCCCCAGACCUUCUGUAAGGGAUGACUGACCUUUUCUGUAAUAAUGCCUGGCCACAGUAUAGGGCCCCAAACAACAUAAAAAAAAAGAGGUUAAAAUAUAAAAUAAUGUGACAACUAGAUCAAUUUUUCGGUGUAAAAAGUUACACUGACGACCUCAAAGUAUGCAAGCAGGUCACCACAGUUGAUCUUACCUAAAGGGUCAUAGUUCUCCUCAUGGGCACGGUCUUAACUCGCAGGAAAAUACUAAGUGUCAGAAUUUGCCCAUGACCAUAAUUUUUCUAGCUCACCCUGAUAUUAAAAAAAUCUCCAAAAAUCAGGGUUGGGUUGGGCGCCCCCUUGACUGGCAUCAUAGAGGCUGCCUCCAUGGUCCACUUUAUUAGAGACCAGGGAAAUGAGGAGCAAGCUAGCAGCAGGAGCAAUGUAGGGAUGGGCAACAGGCCAAUCAAUGGCUGCUUUACACGGUGAUCUGCCGUCAAGGAGACCCAGCAAGGCCAAUGCACCCCAAAUGGCACCUGUUGCUGAUACAAGGAGCCAGGGCAUUGGGCAAGCAGCUGUUGUGACAGCAAAUGCCUUCUGUCAGCUCUGCCAAGAGCAUGGUCACUGGACAUGGAACUGUCCUGGGUGUCGAAGGACUCCUGGUUCAGAACCACAGACCCUGUGGCCCUGAGCUAAAAAGCCUUUGGCUCUGCCCAGCCUCUUCCCAGCUUCCAGCCCUAGCCACUGCUAUUGAGGGGAUGGCCUAGGGUCAGUGAAACGCAAGUUGCCUAUUUCUAUCAGCCUCCUGUUCAGCUCUCCUCCUAGUCCAGCCAUGUAAUGCAAGUCAACAGGGUGCCUCCCUUAAAGGAGAUUUGCAUCUCUUUCAAUUCUCUUCCAGCACCCCAUGGAUAGGUCUGGGCCUCACACACCCAGCCAGGCCUUAAAAGUCUAUCCAAUAACAUUAAGCUUAGAAAGCCCUCCCUGCCAGUUCCUAAAAACAGGGCUUUCAGUAACAGCUAACUCAGAUAGCCCUACACCUAUUUGGACAGGUCCUCACUGGAGACUUAAAGGGCCUAUUUCUUGAGGGGGGUGCACAAUAAUCAAUAAUAUAAAUAGUUAAAUGUAAAUAAUUCAUUAGUAUGUCUUCUUUCCCAGCCUGAGACUCUAGUCUUGUACGUUGGCUUAACCUCCUAGCAAAACUGGCUACUAGAUAUCCGAAAAAAAAAAAAAUUGUCUCUGGGUCAAUCAGACUGGACAGACACAAACCCAAAUUUGUACUUUUCCUGGAAAAAGCCAAACAGCUCCAGGACCAGGCCAAGCAGGGCUGGGAUUUCUGGCCUAACAUCUGAUCAUAAAAAUCCUGGCUAUUUCCUCUCCUUGGCCCACUAGCUUCUGCAAUCUUGAUGCUUCUCUUUGCACCGUGUGUUUUUAAUGCCCUUGUUCAUUUUGUCUCUAACAGACUAAAAGCUGUUGAACUCCAAAUGGUCAUCAGGCAAGACUUCCAGCCCAUUCCACUGGACGACCUGAGCAGCCCUCUGGACCGAGCAGCACAGUCUUUCCAAGGCCACUGUUGCACACCAUAAGACAGGUAGCAAGAGGAAAUACCCAAAUCCCCCUCGAUGCCCACAUGCCAGCUUUGAAGAAGUUACAGAAAAUGGAACUGCAUCCAUAAUCCCAAAGAAGAAUUUUGGGUAUUACCUCUUAAGAAAAAAUUGUUAGGCAGAAAGUCAGUUAUGAGCUUAUGUGUGUGUGACAUAAAGGCCUAAUGUGUCCAGCAUAUGCAUCUGAAUCUCAGUCAUCCUGACAAUGUUUCACGGACAGCCUGGCCUUUACAUCCUGCCCUGCCCCCUUCUACCUGAUAACCUGCCAGGUAGAGAUCCCCACCCCUUCUGCCUGACAAAUCUUCCACAAUCUCCCAGAUACAGCCCAGUAUCUGCAUUUCAGUAUUGCAGAACAGGCGGGGGUUAAAUCUCAUUUUCAUAAAAAAAUUAUGUGCAACAUUAAAAAAAUAUAUAUUAUUUCUAUGCAAAUAAAACUGGGGUAAUAUGUAAUAGUAUGGCCAAGCUCAGAAAACGCCUUAAAAAAGACAGUGGGAAAGAACUCAGCAACAAGGAUGGUUUGAGUCGUGGUUUACCAAAUCUCCCUGGCUGACUAUGCUACUCUCCUCACUAGCAGGUCCCCUGGUCAUUCUGCUCCUAAUUGUUACCAUUGGACCUUGCAUUUUAAAUAGACUUGUAACCUUUUUUAGGGAACAAAUUGGCAACAUUAAACUUAUGAUAAUUCGACAGCAGUAUGCCACUCUCAAGAAUGCUGAAACUGAUAAUCUCUAGGAUUAGAAAUUGUGCCAACAGGAAGUGGGGAAUGAAGUAGCCCCUUGAUAGUAGGGACUCCAUUUUGGGACACUUGAGACUCCAUUCUGGGAAAGCAACCCCCCCCACCGUGAGACUCUGGUCUGAAACUGUGAUCUCAAAUAGUCGGACAAUAGCAGUGCACUACAUCACCCUUGGCAGAGCACAAAACCCUCCUAGCAUGAUUGCUCAAGCUUAAAAGUAGAAAGGUUACACCUGGGUUACCUGGGCUAAUAAUGAAGAUGUGAUUUGUCUAUGUCUUAAGAUCAUAAUUGCUGAUUGUAAGAUUUUAGCAACCGCUUAGCAACCGUGUAUUCUCUCCCCCUUCCCGAUUUUGCGGCUUUUGCCUUUAUAAACCCUAUGCUGUAGUUCCUCGCUGCUCCUCUGUUCUUGUGUGUUCAGAGAGCCCCAACAUGUUGGAUCAAUAAAUCUUUAACCCUUUGCUGGUUGCAUGAGAGAAA